AGUCGAAGAACACUGAAAGCAGAUUACUUCGGUAUGAAGCUUUCUUUGACUGAGUGGCGGACGGGUGAGUAACGCGUGGGUAACCUGCCUCAUACAGGGGGAUAACAGUUAGAAAUGACUGCUAAUACCGCAUAAGCGCACGGUUUCGCAUGGAACAGUGUGAAAAACUCCGGUGGUAUGGGAUGGACCCGCGUCUGAUUAGCUGGUUGGCGGGGUAACGGCCCACCAAGGCGACGAUCAGUAGCCGGCCUGAGAGGGUGAACGGCCACAUUGGGACUGAGACACGGCCCAAACUCCUACGGGAGGCAGCAGUGGGGAAUAUUGCACAAUGGGGGAAACCCUGAUGCAGCGACGCCGCGUGAAGGAAGAAGUAUUUCGGUAUGUAAAGCUCUAUCAGCAGGGAAGAGAAUGACGGUACCUGACUAAGAAGCCCCGGCUAACUACGUGCCAGCAGCCGCGGUAAUACGUAGGGGGCAAGCGUUAUCCGGAUUUACUGGGUGUAAAGGGAGCGUAGACGGCUGGCCAAGUCUGAAGUGAAAGCCCGGGGCUUAACCCCGGAACGGCUUUGGAAACUGGCCGGCUGGAGUGCUGGAGAGGCAGGCGGAAUUCCUGGUGUAGCGGUGAAAUGCGUAGAUAUCAGGAGGAACACCGGUGGCGAAGGCGGCCUGCUGGACAGUAACUGACGUUGAGGCUCGAAAGCGUGGGGAGCAAACAGGAUUAGAUACCCUGGUAGUCCACGCGGUAAACGAUGAAUGCUAGGUGUCGGGGGGCA
rnacentral:rRNA from 1 species